UGUUUGAAGUUUAAAAUGGCGGCGCGAAGGGCGGGGUGUAGUAGUUAUAGAGUUGAGUGAGAAAAGCAGGUGUCAGCGGUUGAAGGAGAGCUCCUGCUUGCAUGGGAAGGUGUAGGCAUGCUGCUGAGCGCUGGGAGUUACCCUCAGCUGUGUGUCUUCUGGCUCCUUGGCUUGCUUCAGGCCUUUGUGUGCUGAAGUGGAGCUGCCUCUCCCUUCUGGGGCUGUGCCCCUCGGGGUGUGUGGAUGCCCCACAGAAGCAGCUCCCCGAAGCAGAGGUGGAUGCAGCUAUCGAUCAUGCUGUGGUUUCUAAUCAGCAGCACCCUGGCUGCUUCUGCUCCUGUCCUCAUUAGAGCAACUACCAGUGAGUCACUGGGUGCCAGCUGCACAUCCACUAGCAGACGUGAAUUUGCAGGAGUUGAGAAAAAUGAAAGGCUUUCUUCUGGAGUGCAGGUUUCCUAAGCAGACGUCAUGGCCAUGCCCUACACCUUUAAGGCAGAGGGCCUUUGAAUCCCCAAAGUGUUAAAUCUCAGCUUUCCACGGAUGGAUUCAUCAUGGUAAACCUACUUCAGCACCCAAGAAAUUAUAGAUCUGAUAAAGCCUUUCUGGGUGUGGGGUUUUUAUGUCUUCCUUUCUAACAAAAUGCUCCAGUCUUCCUUCUCUCAGCAUGCCUUAUAUUUACCUGCUUACAAG